AAAAAAAAAAAAAAAAAGAACGAACACAAUUUAAAAGGAAUAAUUUUUUUAUUCUUAAGGCAUUGUUGUUCACAAAAAGGCAUUAAGAAAACGUUCCCAACAGCCUCAGGCAUUAAUAAAUAAGAGACAGAGGAACACUCACAGCCCUUUUAGUCCUUGAGAUAGGAAGAAAGGGAGAGUUGUUUCCCAUUCCCACACUUUUAGAUAAAGAAAAGCUCACAAUAUAAAUGAAA
rnacentral:misc_RNA from 1 species